rnacentral:misc_RNA from 1 species
GAUGAAGAACGCAGCGAAACGCGAUAAGUAAUGUGAAUUGCAGAAUCCAGUGAAUCAUCGAAUCUUUGAACGCACAUUGCGCCCGCCAGUAUUCUGGCGGGCAUGCCUGUUCGAGCGUCAUUUCAACCCUCGACCUCCCCUUGGGGAGGUCGGCGUUGGGGACCGGCAGCACACCGCCGGCCCUGAAAUGGAGUGGCGGCCCGUCCGCGGCGACCUCUGCGCAGUAAUACAGCUCGCACCGGGACCCCGACGCGGCCACGCCGUAAAACACCCAACUUCUGAACGUUGACCUCGAAUCAGGUAGGACUACCCGCUGAACUUAAGCAUAUCAAUAAGCGGAGGA